rnacentral:rRNA from 1 species
UCGGCUUAGAGUUUGAUCCUGGCUCAGGAUGAACGCUGGCGGCGUGCCUAAUACAUGCAAGUCGAACGAAACUUCUUUAUCACCGAGUGCUUGCACUCACCGAUAAAGAGUUGAGUGGCGAACGGGUGAGUAACACGUGGGCAACCUGCCCAAAAGAGGGGGAUAACACUUGGAAACAGGUGCUAAUACCGCAUAACCAUGGUUACCGCAUGGUAACUAUGUAAAAGGUGGCUAUGCUACCGCUUUUGGAUGGGCCCGCGGCGCAUUAGCUAGUUGGUGAGGUAAAGGCUUACCAAGGCAAUGAUGCGUAGCCGAACUGAGAGGUUGAUCGGCCACAUUGGGACUGAGACACGGCCCAAACUCCUACGGGAGGCAGCAGUAGGGAAUCUUCCACAAUGGGCGAAAGCCUGAUGGAGCAACGCCGCGUGGGUGAAGAAGGUCUUCGGAUCGUAAAACCCUGUUGUUAGAGAAGAAAGUGCGUGAGAGUAACUGUUCACGUUUCGACGGUAUCUAACCAGAAAGCCACGGCUAACUACGUGCCAGCAGCCGCGGUAAUACGUAGGUGGCAAGCGUUAUCCGGAUUUAUUGGGCGUAAAGGGAACGCAGGCGGUCUUUUAAGUCUGAUGUGAAAGCCUUCGGCUUAACCGGAGUAGUGCAUUGGAAACUGGGAGACUUGAGUGCAGAAGAGGAGAGUGGAACUCCAUGUGUAGCGGUGAAAUGCGUAGAUAUAUGGAAGAACACCAGUGGCGAAAGCGGCUCUCUGGUCUGUAACUGACGCUGAGGUUCGAAAGCGUGGGGAGCAAACAGGA